rnacentral:rRNA from 1 species
AAGCUUUUUACCGGUCCGGCCCGUGGAACCGGAAGCCGGAAAAUGGCCAUUAAGACAAAGGCCCCAGCCCUUACGGGGCGCAGCAGUCGCGAAAACUUUGCANUAAGCGAAAGCUGACAGGGCUAUCCGAAGUGCCAUCCGCUGAGAAAGGCUUUUUACCCAGUUUAGACCGCUGGGGAAAUAAGAAGAGGCCAAGUCUGGUGUCAGCCGCCGCGGUAAUACCAGCUCUCCGAGUGGUGUGGAUGUUUAUUGGGCCUAAAGCAUCCGUAGCUGGCUAGGUUAGUCCCUUGUUAAAUCCACCGAAUUAAUCGUUGGAUUGCGGGGGAUACUGCUUGGCUAGGGGACGAGAGAGGCAGACGGUAUUUCCGGGGUAGGGGUGAAAUCCUAUAAUCCCGGGAAGACCACCAGUGGCGAAGGCUGUCUGCUAGAACGCGCCCGACGGUGAGGGAUGAAAGCUGGGGGAGCGAACCGGAUUAGAUACCCGGGUAGUCCCAGCUGUAAACGAUGCAGACUAGGUGUUUGGACGGCCACGUGCCGUUCUAGUGCCGCAGGGAAGCUGUUAAGUCUGCCGCCUGGGGAGUACGAUCGCAAGAUUGAAACUUAAAGGAAUUGGCGGGGGAGCACAAGGGCGAAUUCCAGCACACUGGCGGCCGUUACUAGUGGAUCCGAGCUCGGUACCAAGC